rnacentral:lncRNA from 1 species
GUUUUGAACAGAUGAAGCAUUUAAAAGGAUUGAAGUUCUUAAUUUUUCAAAAAUUUAUAGGUGCAUUCAUGUAUAUCAGCAAAGGAAGUAAUGCUCUCUGCAUGGCAAUACAUAAUGGAAUCUGGAAAUGGACGAAGAAGCCAUAGAAGAAUUUGGAAAGCCUUUAAGUAUCAUGCCUCGCCAAACAGAGUUGCAAUAAACAUCCUUAUAGAUCAGCACCUUUACUUCCAUGGUGCAGAAUCACAGGAAUGAAACUGCUGAGGCAAACGGUAUGUAUGUCUUUUAUUUUAAAAAGUAUUGCCAGAUUGCUUUCUGAAAGUGCAUUCUACCAAUCAUGCAUGAGAAUAUCUUUUUCCCCCAAUUCCCACCUAUAGUAGGUAUAAUCUUCUUUCAAAAUGCUUCAAACAGAUACGUAAAAAGUUUUUUUUGUUGCAUUUCCCUGACUAGUAAAGAAAAUUAAAUAUCUCUUUGGUUUUGCCCAUAACCCUUUGUCCGUUUACUGUGGGUGUGUUUUGUCAUAUGGUUUUCAAUAUGCAAACUCUCAUUUUGUAUUCCAGAUAAUGGCACUUUGUCAUCUGUGUUGCAUAUAUUUUUUUCAACUAUUGAUUUUUACAUAUUACCACAUACAUUUUGUUGGUCUUAUUUUUACAUGCUGUGACUUAAUUUUCCUGGACUUUAUACAGCAAAAAAUGAGGGUCAAAUUGUAUUUUCUCGCAGGUGGAGAGCCAGUUUUACCAGCACCAAUUAUGAACUCUUCUUUUCCCAUGGAAUUAAAAUAUGGUGUCUUUUUUUCCCACUGCUGAUCAAUUUGAUCAAUUUCUAUGCUUAUACCUCCUUAUUUAGAUUAUGGUAGCUUUAUAGCUUGCUUUAUCAUCUGUUGUGCUUGAUUCCACUCACUAUUGUUGUUUUUUUAGUUUUAUUGACUAUUCUAAAUAUUUAUUAUUUAAAAUAGGUUUUAAAUCAUCUUAUCCAGUUUCCCCCCCAAUACCCUUUAGUUUUUAAUUGACAUUGUUCUGAAUUUACAUAUUAAUUUUGCGAGCACGGGUGUUUUUAGCAUUUUCUUUUUUAAAUUUUUUUAUUUUUUUUUGUCUUUUGUCCUCUUAGGGCCUCACCCAUGGCAUAUGGAGGUUCCCAGGCUAGGUGUCUAACUGGAGCUGUUGCCGCCAGCCUACGCCACAGCCACAGCAACACCAAAUCCAAGCCGCAUCUGCAACCUACACCACAGCUCACAGCAACACUGGAUCUUUCAGCCACUGAGCGAAGGGAUCGAACCCUCAACAUCAUGGUUCCUAGUCAGAUUUGUUUCCACUGAGCCACCACGGGAACUCCUGUUUUUAGCAUUUUAACUCUUCUCAUCUAAAAAUAUGGCAUAUUGACCCAUUUUUUUCAGAGUGUUUUAUGUCUUUACAUAACAAUUUAUGGUGUUUUUCACCAUACAAAUCUUCUAUCUUUUGAUUAGUUUAUUCCUAAGAAUUUCAUAGAUUUCAUCAGUAUAGUGAAGAUAAUAUAUUUUCUAAUUUUCAUUUCUAGAUAAAUGAAAUUCUGGUACAUGGAAAAAUUGUUGCUUUUUUCAUAUUUAUCUUACUUCAUCAAUUCUGAAACACACAUUUUAACAUCUCUGAAAAUGAGAUGUAUCCUAUAAUAAUGACAUCUUAAUUAUAAUGGGGAACUUUGUUCCUUCUUGGGAGUAUGUAAAGUAAUGGGAUAUCUUAAAGUCCCUGGCUUCCUAGAUUUUUUGAAAUAUCUUAUACCAAUCAAUUUACCACAUUUUCUUCUUACUUUUAUUUGAUAGUACUAGACUUUCUUAGAUUUCUAAAUAUAAAAACAUAUCUCCAAGAAGAUAUAAUUUUAUCUCUUUUUUUUUUCUAAAUUUAUGCCAAUUAUUUCAUUCUCUUGUUGAAGGUAAAUAUAGUUGUGUUGUUUUUAUGUUAUGGAAUAGUUAGCAUAAACAAUUUUUUAUUUCUUACUCUUGGCUCUUUAGAGGUUGUAAAAUUAUAGGUAAGUAAUUUCUUUUCCUAUUUCACAUAGAAUUUUUAUUGGCAAUGUCUGACAAAUAUUAAUGAAUGCCUUCUAAGCAUUUUAUCUUUGUUGGUAAAAUCACAUGAUUUUUCUCCUUCAAUAUAUCAAAUCAUGCUAGUAAUUUUCAUGAUUUUGAGCUAUUCAUGCAAGCUUGGGAUUAAUUCUGCUCAGUAGUAGUAUAUUAUAGUUUGUAUUUUUUGCUACAAUGCUGGCUUCAGUUUGAUUAUAUUUUCAUUUGAGUUUUUCUGCUGUUAGAUUUAUGAGAGGUUGUAUUGCAGUAUUUCGUCUGUAAUUAUCUUUAACAAGCAUUAAAAUUGAGCUGGUUUUACGAACAAUGGGAGGAUUUACAUCUUUUCCUAUGAUCUAAAAUAGUUUAAAUACUUGGAUGAUUUCUAAGGUUUUGAUUAAAUUUAGCCACAAAGGCACCUAGUCCUAUUAACUUUAAUGGCUUCUUUUUAUUCACCUUUCCAGUAUUUUCUAAAGCAUUUAGUGUACUAAAGUUGUCCUCCUUUGGAUCAAUGUUAGUGUUUCACAUUUGUUAUCACACCAAUUUCCUCUGAGUUAUCCAAUGUGUUACCACACAUUUUCUUGGGUAUUUUAGUCUAUUUCAUAUCUGUAGUUAAGACUCCUUUCUCCUUCGAACCUUAAAUUUUGCUCCUUCUCUUUUUUCUUUAACCAGGCUUAUGAGAGAUUUAUCUAUUUUAUUAAUCUUUUGGAAUAGCCAUGUUUAGUUAACCUUUCUAGCUUUUUAUUUUUCUAUUUCAUAAUUUUUUAUGUUCUAGUUAUUCAUAUAGUCUUGUUUAUAUUAUACCUAUUUUAAUUUCUUAGGAUGACUAAAGGUUCCUUCAUUUUUAAUCAUCCUCUAGUAAUAAUGCCACUAAAAACCAUAACUUUCAAAUUAGGAUAACUUCUGUGUUCCAUAAAUUUUGAGUUGAAGUGGGCUCAUUCUUGCUGCAUUGGAGAUAGUUUGUAAUUUCUGUUUUUGGUUUUGGUUUUUGGAUUUUUUUUGAUCCAAGAGGUAUUAAGGAAUGUUUCUUAAUGCCCAGAUUUACUGUAUAACUAUUAGGGAACAUGAAUUAUAAAAUCUACACUUUGCAUUUUAAGCUUUCUUUUUGGCCAGGCGCAUGAUCAAUCUUUGAAUAUAUUCCAGGGACACUUAAAAAACUAUAUGAUCUAUUUGAAGGAUUUAAGGUUGUGUAUUGAUCUAUUAAUAGAUCUUGAUAAUUAUGUUACUCAGUUCUUCUAUAUCUUUACUUUUUUAUUUUAUUUUAUUUUUUUGUUUGCUGUACAGUAGAAAAAAUAUAUAUAUAAAUAAAUGGUUAAAAAAUCAUUACUUUUGUUUUCUUAAUUUAAUUUUGAACAUAUACAUUGAAAUCUCCCACUUUUUUGCUUUAUUUAGCAGCGAUGCUGUUUUAUGUCUUCAGGUAAAAAAAAAAAAAAUGCAGCUGAUUGGAAUUAUAGUUUCUGCUUCUGGAGAUUUCAAAAGAGGCCCUGGUCGCUGUUUGACCACCAUCCAGGGUUUAUAUUCACCCACAGGAAGUAUUCUACUAAGCACUGCAAGCAAAACUAGCUUGACAAGAAUGUCCUUAUCUGUCCGAUUAUUUUAGUUACCUAAAAUCAGUGAAGAAUCAGUGUGUUUGAUGGUUAAGACUGUGUGGGCUCUUGAAUCAGACUGUCUGGUUUCCAAAAUCUGGUCUUGUCAUAUAAAUUACUUAACAUUUGUCACCUCUGUUUUCAUACCUGAAACAAAUAGAAGGUAGUGCAGUGUACCUCAUAGAGUUAUUGUGAUAAGCCAGUGAUGGACUCCUUGGGAAACGUGGAGUUAGGCACUUAGUAUACACUCAGUAAAAACAUACACUCAAUAUAAAAAGUAUUUGUUAUAUUGUAGUAAGUUCUUAAAGCUUUCCUAAGACCAUGUGUGUAAAUAGGCCUUAAAAAGACCAAAAUCAGCAGCAGUAUUAUUAAAGCAUACAAGAACAAUGCAAAUGCUUCUAAAAUACAAUUAUGUUACAUAUAAUUAUAAGUAAAAUUAUAUACGAUAAAACAAUACUAAAAAUUUAGUGCAAGUCUUUUGAGGACAGGGCUGUGCUCCAUCCCACAGCAAUAGAUCCAUAGUUCCAAGAACAGAGCUGGGCAUGCUGUAGAAUAAAGCAAAAUACUUUUUCGAUUUUUUUAUGAUUAAGUACUGCUCUCAGUAAAUUUUUGCUAAACUAAACAGAAUCAACAUUCUAACUUAUAAUCUCAUGUCUCUCAGCUGCAAAGUGUAUACCUCUGCAGUGUCUUCUAAAAACCCUUUAAAAAAAUCACUGAUGUAGUAUCAGUCAAGAUUCAUCAUUCAC